rnacentral:lncRNA from 1 species
CGCGGGCGCGCGCCUGCCGCUCCCCGAGCACUCCGGGCAGGCGGCCGGCCGGGCUUGGGGUCCCCCUCUCCCUCGCGGGCGGCCGGGGCGGAGUCCCCGAGUCCCCUCCGCCUCGGCAGGAGGCGCGUCUGGAACUCGGGAGCGGGCGGGACGCUUGCCGGCCUCUGAGAUCAUCGGGUUCGAAUCCCAGCUCCGCCAGAGCUACUCCGCGACGCUGGACCUCCUGUCUCGGAGCCUCAGUUUCCCCUCUAGGCGUGUCCCGGGCAUCGCCUGGGAGCUGCUUGGAAAUGCAGCUUCUCCGGUCACCCAGGACCUGCCGAAUCAGACCUGCUGGCGGAGCCCAGCAAUCCGGGCGUGAACAGGUCCCCGGGGUGAUGCUGCUGCGCGGGAAAGGCUGGGCCCCGCUGCUCCGGGCGAUUGAUAGGUGCGUUCAUAUCUAUAUAUUCACACGUGCCCUUUUGUUUUCAUCCCCAGGGACUGACUUUACAGUUCUCUGCACUUUGAUUUUUCAUGACUUAAGGUGUAAGAAGCCCUGAGAUUCCACAGAUCUUGAACACCCGGAUGGAGGAUCCGUCUGUCCUGGCCUCGGCAUCUUAGAGUGGUGCCUGCACACGUAGGUCCUCAAAAAGUAUGGUAGAAGGAAUUAACAUGUGGGGUUCCUUUCUGGGGAACCUCCUUGGCUGGUGGCCCCAGUGCCAGGGCCUUCCUGGUGCUGAAUAGCCCUUCCCUGAUCAGGCAGAAACUUUCAACUUCUCAGUGAUGAGUUGUCCAUUAUUCACCCUUCUGGAGAGAUCUUAAGUCCAAACGUUUCCUGUGCCCUUAUGGAG